GAUGAACGCUAGCGAUAGGCUUAACACGUGCAAGUCGAGGGGCAGCAUAUUCGAAGCUUGCUUUGAAUGAUGGCGACCGGCGCACGGGUGCGUAACGCGUAUGUAACCUGCCUGUCAGAAGAGAAUAACCCGGUGAAAGUCGGACUAAUACCCUAUAUGCCCACGAGAGGCUCCUGCCUUGGUGGGGAGAGAUUUAUCACUGACAGAUGGACGUGCGUCCCAUUAGCUGGUUGGUAGGGUAACGGCCUACCAAGGCAACGAUGGGUAGGGGAACUGAGAGGUUUAUCCCCCACAUUGGUACUGAGACACGGACCAA
rnacentral:rRNA from 1 species